rnacentral:rRNA from 1 species
CCUACGGGGAGCAGCAGUAGGGAAUCUUCCACAAUGGACGAAAGUCUGAUGGAGCAACGCCGCGUGAGUGAAGAAGGGUUUCGGCUCGUAAAGCUCUGUUGGUAGUGAAGAAAGAUAGAGGUAGUAACUCGCCUUUAUUUGACGGUAAUUACUUAGAAAGUCCCGGCUAACUACGUGCCAGCAGCCGCGGUAAUACGUAGGUGGCAAGCGUUGUCCGGAUUUAGUGGGCGUAAAGCGAGUGCAGGCGGUUCAGUAAGUCUGAUGUGAAAGCCUUGGGGUCAACCGGAGAAUUGCAUCAGAAACUGGUGAACUUGAGUGCAGGAGAGGAGAGUGGAAUGCCAGGUGUAGCGGUGGAAUGCGUAGAUAUAUGGAAGAACACCAGUGGCGAAGGCGGCCCUCUGGUCUGCAACUGACGCUGAGGCUCGAAAGCAUGGGUAGCGAACAGGAUUAGAUACCCUAGUAGUC